rnacentral:rRNA from 1 species
GAUGAACGCUGGCGGCGUGCCUAAUACAUGCAAGUCGAGCGAACAGACGAGGAGCUUGCUCCUCUGACGUUAGCGGCGGACGGGUGAGUAACACGUGGAUAACCUACCUAUAAGACUGGGAUAACUUCGGGAAACCGGAGCUAAUACCGGAUAAUAUAUUGAACUGCAUGGUUCAAUAGUGAAAGACGGUUUUGCUGUCACUUAUAGAUGGAUCCGCGCCGCAUUAGCUAGUUGGUAAGGUAACGGCUUACCAAGGCAACGAUGCGUAGCCGACCUGAGAGCGUCAUCGGCCACACUGGAACUGAGACACGGUCCAGACUCCUACGGGAGGCCGCAGUAGGGAAUCUUCCGCGAUGGACGAAAGCCUGACGGAGCAACGCCGCGUGAGUGAUGAAGGUCUUCGGAUCGUAAAACUCUGUUAUUAGGGAAGAACAAAUGUGUAAGUAACUAUGCACGUCUUGACGGUACCUAAUCAGAAAGCCACGGCUAACUACGUG